rnacentral:rRNA from 1 species
UACGUAGGGGGCAAGCGUUGUCCGGAUUUAUUGGGCGUAAAGAGCUCGUAGGCGGCUCGUUGCGUCGGCUGUGAAAACCCGCAGCUCAACUGUGGGCUUGCAGCUGAUACGGGCGGGCUGGAGUUCGGUAGGGGAGACUGGAAUUCCUGGUGUAGCGGUGAAAUGCGCAGAUAUCAGGAAGAACACCGGUGGCGAAGGCGGCCUGCUGGGCAGUUGCUGACACUGAGGCGCGACAGCGUGGGGAGCAAACAGG